AGCGAACGCUGGCGGCAGGCUUAACACAUGCAAGUCGAACGCCCGGGCAACCGGGAGUGGCAGACGGGUGGGUAACGCGUGGGAACAUACCCUUUGGUUCGGAAUAACUCAGGGAAACUUGAGCUAAUACCGGAUAAGCCCUUAUGGGGAAAGAUUUAUCGCCGAAGGAUUGGCCCGCGUCCGAUUAGCUAGUUGGUGAGGUAACGGCUCACCAAGGCGACGAUCGGUAGCUGGUCUGAGAGGAUGAUCAGCCACACUGGGACUGAGACACGGCCCAGACUCCUACGGGAGGCAGCAGUGGGGAAUAUUGGACAAUGGGGGCAACCCUGAUCCAGCCAUGCCGCGUGAGUGAUGAAGGCCCUAGGGUUGUAAAGCUCUUUCGGCGGGGACGGUAAUGACGGUACCCGCAGAAGAAGCCCCGGCUAACUUCGUGCCAGCCGCCGCAGUAA
rnacentral:rRNA from 1 species